rnacentral:rRNA from 1 species
AGCAGCCGCGGUAAUUCCAGCUCCAAUAGCGUAUAUUAGAGUUGUUGCAGUUAAAAAGCUCGUAGUUGAAUUUCGGGAUCAAUACGUCGGUCGUGCUUAGGUACGUACUGGCGUAAUUGAUUUCUCCCUUCUGACGAACCAUGAUGUCAUUAACUUGGUGUCAUGGGAAAUCAGGACUGUUAACUUUGAAAAAAUUGAGUGUUUAAAGCAGGCUCACGCUUGAAUACAUUAGCAUGGAAUAAUGAAAUAGGACGUUCGAUCCUAUUUUGUUGGUUUUUAGGAUCAACGUAAUGAUUAAUAGGGAUAGUUGGGGGCAUUAGUAUUCAAUUGUCAGAGGUGAAAUUCUUGGAUUUAUUGAAGACUAACUACUGCGAAAGCAUUUGCCAAGGAUGUUU